CGACAACUGUUCCUCUCUCAGUCCCAAGAUAUGGGCUAUGGGAUUUUAGGUUGUCGCAGAUUAAAAUUGCCUUUUUCACUCAGGGGUGUGUAAUGGUGGGUUGGCUGCCUCUCCACACUUCUUGAAUUUUGCGGGGCAAGACAGAA